rnacentral:piRNA from 1 species
UGGACCUCAGAGGGGAAAAAGUGUCUGCUGU